UCAAUGUAGGGUAAUAACUGCUUGAUCCAAGGAUAAAUCUGACUGCCAUUCUGGGGUCAAGAAGGAAUUUUUUUUCCUAGCUUGUUGCAAAAUUGUGCUUCAAACUGGGUUUUUUUUGCCUUCUUUUGGAUCAACAGCAAAAAACAAAUGUGAGGUAGGCUGAACUUGAUGGACGCAAGUCUCUUUUCAGCUAUGUAACUAUGUAA